rnacentral:rRNA from 1 species
AUUGAACGCUGGCGGCAUGCUUUACACAUGCAAGUCGAACGGCAGCGCGGGCUUCGGCCUGGCGGCGAGUGGCGAACGGGUGAGUAAUACAUCGGAACGUGCCCAGUAGUGGGGGAUAGCUCGGCGAAAGCCGGAUUAAUACCGCAUACGACCUGAGGGUGAAAGCGGGGGAUCUUCGGUCCUCGCGCUAUUGGAGCGGCCGAUGGCAGAUUAGCUAGUUGGUGGGGUAAAGGCCUACCAAGGCGACGAUCUGUAGCUGGUCUGAGAGGACGACCAGCCACACUGGGACUGAGACACGGCCCAGACUCCUACGGGAGGCAGCAGUGGGGAAUUUUGGACAAUGGGCGAAAGCCUGAUCCAGCAAUGCCGCGUGUGUGAUGAAGGCCUUCGGGUUGUAAAGCACUUUUGGCGGGAACGAAAAGGACUGUGCCAAUACCACGGUUCGAUGACGGUACCCGCAGAAUAAGCACCGGCUAACUACGUG